CAGGUUCCGGUCACAAGCUCGCUCUGCAGAGUGUCGUGUCAGGAGCCAAUUAGAGCGCGUGUUCAGGACGCAGUGCCCUCUUCUUUGAGACCCGCAGCUCUUUCUUGAAUCCGCCGGGCUUCUAAUGCGAUGUUGAAAUCUGCUCCUGCUUGACUCCUACAGCUGGUUUUGAUCAGGCUCCUCUAAAGAGGAAGUUUCAAUUAGCACAGCUCCAAAUGUGCUCUGGAGGGCCAAUGAGACUCCUAACCUCCAGUCCUAGAAGAUGCCUGGAAACCUGCGCCCUUCGUCAGCCUCGUGAAUUCAUAAUCGCUUUGAUGGUGCUAUGUUUUUAAUACAAAAUCAAGGACCAGAGAGUCAAUAUUCCUCCAGCAUUUAUCUGGACUUACUGUGUUCCAAUGGCAAAAGCUGAUUGAUGGCAUUUUCAACGAGUGCUUUGGGAGGCUGAGAAGAGUAUCUGAAAAGGACUGCGAUGCAUUGCUUUACAUGUGGAGUAAACCCUGCCAUGUACAACAGGCCUGUAGAUGAAAAUUUAACAUACUACAUCUCCCAUAUCAGGUUUGGGUGGAUGGCUGAGUCUGAGUGAUACUAUCUUCUCUAUUAGAAGGCCUCUCAUGAACUGAGUGGUGGUUUUAAUUAAAUCCAGUAGGUUGAGAAAAGUGAUUUGGCAGUUUCAAUUGAUUUAUUGUGUUUGUGACAUCUGGGCCUGAUUUAUUAUAUUGACUUGCAGAAUUGUUUUCUGGACAUUCACGCUACAUAUUUUCAUUCUGGUUUUGGGGACUCACAGUCUAUAAAUAAGUAGCACUUUCAUUUUGCUAUGAUUUUAGUUUUCUCUGUGUUUUUCUUAUUUUGGUAGGAUGGUAAACUAUUGAAUUUAUCUUGUCAAUGUGAUUGAAAGCAUGAGAUUCUGUGGGUUUGUGUGCCUGAAGAGGGCCGAUUUAAAAGUGGUACUGCGUUGAAGUUCAUUAUUAGCAUCUUGCCUAGGCUUGUGGGCAGAGAGAGUAAGAG
rnacentral:lncRNA from 12 species